GGCACCAUAGUGUACGGAACACGUACCGGACUUCUAAUUGCGUUCUCAUCAAGUAUAUAUCCGGUGAGACGGGGUUCGACUCCCCGCGGUGCCU